AGGGACUUAGGCUAAACUUUAAACCAAGGGCCUUCAAAGCCCUAAAUAAGAGA
rnacentral:tRNA from 1 species